rnacentral:rRNA from 1 species
AAUCAACGCUGGCGGCGUGCCUCAGACAUGCAAGUCGAACGAUUAAAGCUCUCUUCGGAGAGUGUAUAGAGUGGCGCACGGGUGAGUAACACGUAAGUAAUCUACCCUCGAGUGGGGAAUAACAACCGGAAACGGUUGCUAAUACCGCAUAAUGCAGCGGCACCGCAAGGUGACAGUUGUUAAAGAUUUAUCGCUUGAGGAGGAGCUUGCGGCAGAUUAGCUAGUUGGUAGGGUAACGGCUUACCAAGGCUACGAUCUGUAACCGGUCUAAGAGGACGGUCGGUCACACUGACACUGAAUAACGGGUCAGACUCCUACGGGAGGCAGCAGUCGGGUAAUUUUGGGCAAUGGGCGAAAGCCUGACCCAGCAACGCCGCGUGAAGGAUGAAGUAUUUCGGUAUGUAAACUUCGAAAGAAUAGGAAGAAUUAAUGACGGUACUAUUUAUAAGGUCCGGCUAACUACGUGCCAGCAGCCG